CCUACGGGUGGCUGCAGUGGGGGAUAUUGCACAAUGGGGGGAACCCUGAUGCAGCGACGCCGCGUGGGUGAAGGAGUGCUUCGGCAUGUAAAGCCCUAUCGGCAGGGAAGAAGCAAGACGGUACCGGACUAAGAAGCACCGGCUAACUACGUGCCAGCAGCCGCGGUAAUACGUAGGGGGCGAGCGUUAUCCGGAUUCACUGGGGGUAAAGGGAGCGUAGACGGCCAGGCAAGCCGGGGGUGAAAGCCCGGGGCUCAACCCGGGGACUGCCCUGGGAACUGCAUGGCUGGAGUGCGGGGGGGGCAGGCGGAAUUCCUGGUGUAGCGGUGAAAUGCGUAGAUAUCAGGAAGAACACCGGCGGCGAAGGCGGUCUGCUGGACUGCGACUGACGUUGAGGCUCGAAAGCGUGGGGAGCGAACAGGAUUAGAUACCCGGGUAGUC
rnacentral:rRNA from 1 species